GACGAACGCUGGCGGCGUGCCUAACACAUGCAAGUCGAACGGGGUGAUCUCUUCGGGGAUCACUUAGUGGCGAACGGGUGAGUAACGCGUGAGGAACCUGCCUUUCAGUGGGGGACAACAGUUGGAAACGACUGCUAAUACCGCAUAAUGUAUUUUAGGGGCAUCCCUGAGAUACCAAAGAUUUAUUGCUGAAAGAUGGCCUCGCGUCUGAUUAGCUAGUUGGUGGGGUAACGGCCUACCAAGGCGACGAUCAGUAGCCGGUCUGAGAGGUUGAACGGCCACAUUGGGACUGAGAUACGGCCCAGACUCCUACGGGAGGCAGCAGUGGGGAAUAUUGGGCAAUGGGGGAAACCCUGACCCAGCAACGCCGCGUGAAGGAAGAAGGCCUUCGGGUUGUAAACUUCUUUUACCAGGGACGAAGAACGUGACGGUACCUGGAGAAAAAGCAACGGCUAACUACGUGCCAGCAGCCGCGGUAAUAC
rnacentral:rRNA from 1 species